rnacentral:rRNA from 1 species
AUUGAACGCUGGCGGUAUGCUUAACACAUGCAAGUCGAACGGUAACAGGCCUUCGGGCGCUGACGAGUGGCGGACGGGUGAGUAACGCGUAGGAAUCUGCCUUAUAGUGGGGGACAACGUGGGGAAACCCACGCUAAUACCGCAUACGCCCUACGGGGGAAAGCGGGGGAUCGUAAGACCUCGCGCUAUGAGAUGAGCCUGCGUUAGAUUAGCUAGUUGGUAGGGUAAAGGCCUACCAAGGCGACGAUCUAUAGCUGGUCUGAGAGGACGAUCAGCCACACUGGGACUGAGACACGGCCCAGACUCCUACGGGAGGCAGCAGUGGGGAAGAUUGGACAAUGGGCGCAAGCCUGAUCCAGCAAUACCGCGUGUGUGAAGAAGGCCCUAGGGUUGUAAAGCACUUUCAAUGGGGAGGAAAACCUGCCGGUCAAUACCCGGUAGCUUGACAUUACCUAUAGAAGAAGCACCGGCUAACUCCGUGCCAGCAGCCGCGGUAAAAC